rnacentral:misc_RNA from 1 species
AAGAGAAAACUGCCCUCUGGGUAGAUCUCCCACCCUUUGUUUACAUUACCUUUGUUGCUUUGGCAGGCCCGUCUUCUGACCACCGGCUUUUUAGCUGGUCCGUGCCUGCCAAAAGACCCAAAACUCUUGAUUUGAUGUUGUCCGAGUCUUAUAUAAUAGUAA